UCAUGGCGUCAGGAUGAACGCUAGCGGCAGGCUAACACAUGCAAGUCGAGGGGCGAGCGCGGGGUAGGCAAUACUCUGGCGGCGACCGGCGAAAGGGUAGAGUAACGCGUGAGCAACAUGCCCGGUACUGGAGGAUAGUCGAUGGAAACGUACGCGUAAUACUCCGUAACAACAGGGACCGCAUGAUCCUGUUUAAGAGAUUUAUCGAUAUCGGAUUGGCUCGCGUUCCAUUAGCUAGUUGGCGGGGUAACGGCCCACCAAGGCGACGAUGGAUAGGGGUUCUGAGAGGAAGGUCCCCCACCAUUGGAACUGAGACACGGUCCAGACUCCUACGGGAGGCAGCAGUGAGGAAUAUUGGUCAAUGGCCGAGAGGCUGAACCAGCCAUGCCGCGUGCGGGGAAGGGACGGCCCUAUGGGUUGUAAACUGCUUUUGCGGGAGGAUAAAGUGCGCUACGUGUAGCGCUUUGCAGGUAUCCCGUGAAUAAGGACCGGCUAAUUCCGUGCCAGCAGCAGC
rnacentral:rRNA from 1 species